rnacentral:lncRNA from 1 species
GUUAAAUUUGCCUCAUAUGCAACUUAUUUGUGAUCCUUUGUGUUCCUAUGAAUACAGCCCUGCCCCCUGGGAAUAAUGAUGGUUGCUGGGGGGGCGGGGUUCUUUCACCAGUGGCAUAAGGUUUGAAGAGGACCUUGUGCCCAUUCUGGCUACCCCAUUGUGUUGCCACCAGGAGAUUAAAGAGCUGUCCCUUGGAAAUCAUUAGCUGGGUACCAUGAUGUUGGCUGCUGUUCCAAUCUGUGGUCCUCCUAAAUCCCUACCAAGUCACCAGGUACUGUUGUGCCUCUGGGGGACACUGAUAUGGUGCCGCAUCAUCCUGUCACUCCAGCUGGCACCUGAUGUGCCCCACGUCAUCUCUCACAGCCAGGGGACCAAAACCACGCACUGUUGGGGCAGGAACCCUCAAUCUCAUUUCUCAGUGUCUGGUUCACCCUCGUUUCCAAUAGUGAGUAGAUUCCAGGUCAAGCCCCAGAGACCGUGCUUUUAUCCCUUAAUAAUUUCCUUCAACACAUGACGCUUGUCCCUGAGGUGUUCAUCAUCUUCCCUACAGGAUCGAUGAGGACACCUGGAACUGAGGGUAAAGGAGGAAGAGAACCCCCUUAGAUCAUUUUAGACACUGACUAGUAAGCACACUUUAUAUGCUACUAAAUGCCAUUUUGACAUUGUAGAAUUUUAUAGAAACGGAUACCGAGGGCAAUGGCAUCCUUCGACAACGGGAUAUAAAGAACAUCUGUAUGGCUUUGACAUUCCCCUCACACCAAGAGAAUUCCAGAAGCUUUGGCAAAGCUAUGACACUGAAGGAAGAGGGUACAUUACUUACCAAGAGUUUUUACAGAAACUCGGUAUUAACUCCUCACCAGCAGUCCACCGGCCCUAUGCAGAAGAUUACUUCAACUUCCUGGGUCAUUUCACGAAGCCCCAGCAAGUGCAAGAAGAAAUCCACGAGCCGCAGCAGAGCACAGAGAGGGCUGUGCCAGCCAGGGUUCAGCUUAUGGACCACUAUCAGGACAUCAACAAAGCACUCAGUGCACUGGAUAAGUCCCAGUCCAGCUCAUGUCCCUCUGCAAGAUGCAAAGGUCAUUGCAGGAGUGUGGCUGUCCCCUGAAGGAGGAGAAGCUGACCAGUCUUCUGCACAGGUCUCUGGGGUUUGGUUUUUGUUCUUAUUUCUGACUAGGUGAGGUGCGUUUUUCUUGAACCUCCUUUGACCUCGAGAUGACCUCCCUGUGUUCUUUUGGGCCAGGCUGCAUUACAGUGGGCUCGAGUCAGCCAUAAGCAAUGAAGAAAGCAAUUUGACAAAUGCACAAUUUUUCCUGAUGGGUCUUAGCAUAAUCAUCGUCUUUCACUGUUCGUUUUUAUUUUCUCCAUGUUUUUCAUCCACAUUGGAAGUCAUAUCACCUUAUCAGUUUAUUGUUAAAAACAGCAGCCCCUCUGCCCUACUACUGCUCUUGUUUCCCAGCCCAAGGUCAACCACUUCCAGCACAUUCAGCUGGUGGCUUUUGGUACUGAAUGUCCCCAUUUCUAAGUGACAAACUUCUAGUGCUACUCCCUGACUUGUUACUUGCAGGCAGUGUCUGUUGAAUUCCUGCCAGGAAGACAUGGAAACCCACGGACACCUAUCCACACAGCUCAUCAGGCUGCAGCCCAAGUUUUGGGGAUUUGUGUUCAGGACCCACAUGACCAUGGCUAAGAAGAUCACUUCUUUCUUCAUAGCACGGCUUCCAGGAUAAGCUUGUUUUUUCUGUUCAUUUAGUUUCCCAUGUACUUAUCACCCCUCAUUCAAUCCCUGGCACACCCUUAGGGGUGACAUCUCCCUCCUGUGUGUUCAGACACUUCCAUUAAACUUCCCACUGCAUCUUGUCAAAGAAGCCCUUUUCAUAUUCUUCAGUUCCCAGAAAUUGUCUUGACUUAUUUCAUGAAUGAUUUCCUCUCCUUUGUUCUCUCUGAAACUCCUGCUAUUGUUGGACAUUGAACCACCUAGACUGUAGCCUUAUUUGUUUUGAAAUCUUUCUCAUUUCCAUCUCUUUUACUUUUUAUUCCACUUCCUGAGCCAUUCCUUUCAUUUCAGCUCCCAGUCCUUUUUUGAGUUUUGUUUGUGCUAUACUACUUCUGCCUCCAAAUUGCCAAUGCUUGUUCUCAUUCUCCAAAUGUUUCUUGUUUCACA